rnacentral:rRNA from 1 species
AGUAACGCGUGAGGAACCUGCCUCAAAGAGGGGACGAACAGUUGGAAGCGACUGCUAAUACCGCAUAAGCCCACGGCUCGGCAUCGAGCAGAGGGAAAAGGAGUGAUCCGCUUUGAGAUGGCCUCGCGUCCGAUUAGCUAGUUGGUGAGGUAACGGCCCACCAAGGCGACGAUCGGUAGCCGGACUGAGAGGUUGAACGGCCACAUUGGGACUGAGACACGGCCCAG